rnacentral:rRNA from 1 species
GAUGAACGCUGGCGGCGUUCCUAAUACAUGCAAGUCGAGCGAAGCGGUGACGGGUGAGUAUCACGUGGAUAAACUCCUUGAAGACUGUGAUCACUUCGGGAAACCGGAGCUAAAUCGGAUACUUAUAGAUGGAUCCGCUCUUCAUUAGCUAUUUGGUUAGGUAACUGCUUACAAAGGCAACGUUGCAUAGCCGACCUGUUCGGGUGAUCAGCAACACUGUAACUGAGACACGGUCCAGACGCCGACGUGAGGUAGCCGUAGGGAAUCUGCCGCAAUGGGCGAAAGCCGGACGGAGCAACGCCGCGUGAGUGAUGAAGGGCUGCGGAUCGUAAAACUCUGUUAUUAAGGAAGCGGUACCUAAUCAGAAAGCCAAGGCUAACUCCGUGCCAGCAGCCGCGGUAAUUC